rnacentral:lncRNA from 1 species
CAGUGAGCCGAGACCGCGCCUGGGCGACAGAGCGAGACUCCUUCUCAAAAAAAAAAAAAAACAAAAACAAACAAAAAAAAAGAUUUAAACCGACAAGGCAGAUUAAUAGGAUAAAAGUAUACAAGUUUUAUUAAAUUUUUAGAUGCACAUGGAGCCCUUCACAAGAGUCCCAAGACCCAAAGAAGUUGAACAGAGUAGAAAGCUUUUAUACCUUCUAGUCAAAGCAAUGCUAAGUUUUUGAAGUGAUGACCAGACAAAGGGGUUUGGGUUAGGGGCAGUAAAUUGUGGGGAAGUGACCAGGAAAUAUACGGGGAGGGAGAUAAAACUACUGGAUGAUAAGGGUUGCUUUAGUAAGUUUAUACAGAUCCAUUUCGGUGCUGAUUCCCAGUCUCUGGUGUUAAGGAUGUUUUUCUCUUCCUUGUACAGGGAGGGCGCCUUUCUUAUGGGGAAUUUUAUGGCCUGUUCUUAUAUAGAAAAGGGUAGAUCAGAGAGCUCUUCCUGCCUCUGCUGUUUUUCAAGUGCCUUCAGCUCAGAAUAAACAACAUGCCGAAGCAGCAUAUGUUUUUGGGGUGACAUGUCCUUAACUUCUUCACUAAAUAAUCCUAAACUUGAGAGUAUGCCUUCUCCCCACUCAGCCAUUCCAACCUAAGAAUAGGAUACAACCUCCAGCUGGGCAAAACAAAACUGGUACAAGAUAUUUAACAAAAUUUCAGGAAAGCAGAGCCCAAAUAGUCUAACCAAGGCUGCAUAUUGGCUGGGCAUGGUGGCUCAUGACUGUAAUCCCAACAGUUUGGGAGGCUGAGGUGGGAGGAUUGCUUUGAGUCCAGGAAUUCAAGACCGGCCU